UUCUUCCUUGUCUUGGGGAGCAUAGUGCGCCAUGAUCGUAAAGUGAGAGCACUGAUGCUGGCACCCACAACAUGUUGCGACAUGACCCGCGCCCGGCCGCCGUCAGGGGGUCCGAGCGCAAUUUUUGAAAGG